UUUUUAGUCUGUUCGGUCCUGCACUUGGGAAGGAGCUGUCUGUGGCUGAAGAGGCUCCUCUGGUUGUUGCUGAUGGUGUGCAGACGGUGACUGGCAUCAUCCAUAUUGUCCAGCAGUUUGUUCAGUGUUCUCUUCUCUGCCACCAUCACCAGAGAGUCCAGCAUC